rnacentral:rRNA from 1 species
UACGAAGGGGGCUAGCGUUGUUCGGAAUCACUGGGCGUAAAGCGCACGCAGGCGGAUUGAUAAGUCGGGGGUGAAAUCCCGGGGCUCAACCUCGGAAUUGCCUUCGAUACUGUCUGUCUUGAGUCCGGGAGAGGUGAGUGGAAUUCCUAGUGUAGAGGUGAAAUUCGUAGAUAUUAGGAAGAACACCAAUGGCGAAGGCAGCUCUCUGGGACGGUACUGACGCUGAGACGCGAAAGCGUGGGGAGCGAACAGG